rnacentral:tRNA from 1 species
GAGUCCUUGGCUGAAAGGAAAAAGCAGUUACCUCAAAAGUAGCCUUGUGUUGGUUCGAGUCCAGAUGAUUGAG